UACGAAGGGGGCUAGCGUUGCUCGGAAUCACUGGGCGUAAAGCGCACGUAGGCGGAUUGCUAAGUCAGGGGUGAAAUCCUGGAGCUCAACUCCAGAACUGCCUUUGAUACUGGCGAUCUUGGAAUCCGGGAGAGGUGAGUGGAAUUCCGAGUGUAGAGGUGAAAGUUCGAUAGAUAUUCGGAAGAACACCAGUGGCGAAGGCGGCUCACUGGACCGGUAUUGACGCUGAGGUGGCGAAAGCGUGGGGAGCAAACAGG
rnacentral:rRNA from 1 species